UACGAAGGGGAGCUAGCGUUGUCCGGAAUCAUUGGGCGUAAAGAGCGUGUAGGCGGCCCGGUAAGUCCGUUGUAAAAGUCAAAGGCUCAACCUUUGAAUGUCAGUGGAUACUGCCGGGCUAGAGUCCGGAAGAGGCGAGUGGAACUCCUGGUGUAGCGGUGGAAUGCGCAGAUAUCAGGAGGAACACCGGUGGCGAAGGCGGGUCUCUGGGCAGUAACUGACGCUGAGGAGCGAAAGCGUGGGGGAGCAAACAGG
rnacentral:rRNA from 1 species